UACGUAGGGUGCAGGCGUUAAUCGGAAUUACUGGGCGUAAAGCGUGCGCAGGCGGCGCGUUAAGACAGGUGUGAAAGCCCCGAGCUUAACUUGGGAAUUGCGCUUGUGACUGGCGUGCUGGAGUGUGGCAGAGGGAGGUGGAAUUCCACGUGUAGCAGUGAAAUGCGUAGAGAUGUGGAGGAACACCGAUGGCGAAGGGCAGCCUCCUGGGCCAGCACUGACGCUCAUGCACGAAAGCGUGGGGA
rnacentral:rRNA from 1 species